rnacentral:misc_RNA from 1 species
AAGUCGUAACAAGGUAACCGUAGGUGAACCUGCGGUUGGAUCAUUAAAAAGUCCAAAAGGAAGCAAGUGAACCUUGCUCUCCAUCUCUCGUUUGCUCGCUCGCUCGCUCGCAUCGUCACCCAACAUUGUGUGAACUGUUGUCGUUUCUGGCGGGAGGGUGGAGGCAACUCCACCUGUCAGCUUGGAUUUGUUUUCGAGCCGUGGACAACCCGCCGACCAAUUUGCUGAACCUUUGUUUUUAUUUAUUUUUGUCUGACAUUCUACGUAUUGAAAAAUACAAACAACUUUUGGCAACGGAUCUCUUGGCUCUC